rnacentral:tRNA from 2 species
GUUGAAUUAGCUCAUGGGUAGAGCAUAAGGUUGAGGAUCUUAAGGUAGCAGGUUCAAAUCCUGCAUUCAACU